rnacentral:rRNA from 1 species
GACGAACGCUGGCGGCGUGCUUAACACAUGCAAGUCGAACGGAAAGGCCCUGCUUUUGUGGGGUGCUCGAGUGGCGAACGGGUGAGUAACACGUGAGUAACCUGCCCUUGACUUUGGGAUAACUUCAGGAAACUGGGGCUAAUACCGGAUAGGAGCUCCUGCUGCAUGGUGGGGGUUGGAAAGUUUCGGCGGUUGGGGAUGGACUUGCGGCUUAUCAGCUUGUUGGUGGGGUAGUGGCUUACCAAGGCUUUGACGGGUAGCCGGCCUGGGAGGGUGACCGGCCACAUUGGGACUGGGAUGCGGCCCAGACUCCUACGGGAGGCAGCAGUGGAGAAUAUUGCACAAUGGGCGGCAGCCUGAUGCAGCAACGCCGCGUGCGGGAUGACGGCCUUCGGGGUGUAAACCGCUUUCGCCUGUGACGAAGCGUGAGUGACGGUAAUGGGUAAAGAAGCACCGGCUAACUACGUG